CUGUAUCAAUGUAGAUGCUUUGUGUGUGUGGAUUCCUACAUUUAUGUUUUUAAAGGGGAACUGAAGAGGUUUUCGGAUUUCUUUCCUGAGCGUUUUACUCGGUUGAAUUGUAUUAAAUGCAUCACUGGCUGUCUCAAAACUCAUAUUAAAAAAAUAAUAAUAAUAAUUGACCGCGUAGUUUUUGAGUUAUAGCCAUAGCAACACCUUAGCAACGAGGGACGCGGCUCGCUGCGACCGCUACCCGAUGACGUAACUUCCAGGAAGUCGCUCUGGACACGGAAGUAUAUUAGUAUAGCACCGCGCGGCUGUCGCCAUUUAUUGCAAACAUUUUCUGUGUUUCACUCGCAAAAUUCAUAAUGCCAUCUCGAUGUGUAGCGAUGCAUUGCUCUCACGAAGGCUCGAAACUUUAUGAGUGGCCCAAAAAAAAAUCUUCUGCAAGGAUUUGGACCGCUUUUGUGAGAGUGAAGCGGAAGAACUUUUCUCCUGUUCCUCGGUCGGUACUUUGUUUUCAUCAUUUUAGCGACGACAGCUUUGACAACCUAAUGGAAUACAGGCUUGGUUUUACAAAGAUGUAAGUAGACCACUUCUGAAUUUUCUUGAUCUAAAAUUUGAUGCAUUUCUGUUGAUAUACGAGUGCAAAUCCUUAGCCGACAGGUCGUCCCGUCUUGUGAAUUUGAUACAUUUAUUACUACCUCUAUGGGUAUUAUGUAAAUCAAAAUGUCCUCAGCACCAAGUAGGACCUUGGCUAGUUAUCUUUUGGCCUGUCACAAGGUAAAUAUAAAGUCUACUAGCCUAUGGAUCCCUAUACACUUUUGUUAUUCAUUUCUAGGCUCCGUCUGAAGAAAAAUGCAGUGCCAACAAUCCACCUCCCAGCCCCUGAUGCACCAAAUACAUCCCAACAAAAUCAUGACAAUUUUACUCCAACACCGAGGUCUGCCUAUUCGAAGAGGGAAACAUUGCGUCAAAUAGAUGCUGCUAUGUCUGAGGCAUUAUUAUUAGAUUGCCAAGAACAUUCGGAGCCAAAAAAUGGCUCAAACCAGGAAGUGAGGUUUGUGAAAGACUUGUUGAUAUUUUGACCAAGAAGCACUUUGUUAAAGAUGUUUGCAGCAUGUCAGCUCUUGGUCAGACUAGUGGACUUGAAGCCUUUCACAGCCUUGUUAAUCAAUUUGCCCCCAAGAUGUUCCAGUUCUCAUAUCAAGGAAUGCACAGUAGGAUUUAUCUUGCUGCCCUUCAUUAUAACGAGAAUGCUGGAAGACCUUGGGCUUACACAAAAGCAGGGGAACAGCGUUAUAGCAUUGCAUUCCCCAAGUACAAGAAGGGUGGUUAUUCAUUGAAAAAUGUGUUGGUAAAACCUAGUUACCGUAAGUAAACGUACAAUUGUGAAAUUUAUUACAUUAUCCUUUGAAAAUAUUUAUUUUCUCUUUUUAUGUGCAGGUUGAUCAGGAUAAGUAUUUCAAUUUCAAAUGCAUGUAAAUAACUCUUUCACACUAAACUGUCUUUCUCACCUUUAUCAUAUUUCAACGCUGCAAAAAGUCUGUUGCUAUACUAACUUUGUGCUACUUACUAAAUUUGUGUUUUGAUGUGUGCCAUUGUUUGCUUGGUUUAGCUCAGCUUUCUAUGUUAUAUCACAAUCUGCCAAAAACACCUGCAAUUAUUUUCGUAUUUAUUUUAAAAUGAAAUUUUCUACUUCUAUUUUCUACCACUCAGCGACUUGUACGAGAAACCAGUGAAAGCUGAUGCUGUCAAGACAGUUUUAUCCAGAUUUCGGCCAAAAUAAAUGUUGAAUCAUUGUUUACUGUUGUCACUGUUACUAUUGUUUUGUUUUUGUGGAAUAUAAUAUUGUAAAAAAUAAAAAAUGGAUAAAUGCAUUAAACAGUCAUCAAAAUAUUACAAUUUAUUGUUUUACUUCUUCAAUGUUGGUAGUUUGUGCCCUGCAAACACAAAAUCCUCUUCUAGACCAGGAGGAGGGAAGUGUGCCCUGAUGGAAGACACAAAACAUGAGGGGAGUACCACUCUAAUGUCUUUGCCUAGAUACUCCCAGCACCAGGUGACAAAUUGUCUGUAGGCGACAUGUCUAAAUUUGGCAUCUGUGGGCCCCUCAAAUGCCUUGCCACCAUACAGUUGCUUGUACCUGGCCCAAGCACACUGAAGGGCCCAAGGGUUGAAACAAAUGGCAUUCAGGCCAGGGUGAUCCAAAAUGCACUCCGGCAAUGUAUCCGUCAGUGCUUCUGCCUCCUCAAGUUUGCCUCUCACUUCCGGGAUCUCCUGACAGCAAAGGCAUUCUCUUGGAAGGGUCAUUACUUGACAGUGUUUACAGCAACACCUGGACAAAAAAAUGUAAUUUACUUCGGAAAAUUACAAUCAACCACCUUUAUUUAGCCAUAUUUGGGCUAGCUAGACCAUAUUACUAUCUUUACACAGGUCUGGCAUCAGUACAUUUGUCUACUUUUUUUUUUAACCUGUCUUGUUCAGCUCUGACACAGAAUGGAAAUCUGGGUGUCCUAUUGGUCUGAAUGUUUUCCAACUCGUCUGAUUACUGAUAAUUAUAUCACAGAAUGACGUUUCAGAGAGAAAUGACGAUGCUAGACAUAAACUUACCACUCGUCCUUACGUGAUGUGUCAAGUCGCCAGUCUGCGUCAUCACCACCGUCUGAUGUGCUGUGUAAAUCGUCAUCUGACACCUCAGGUUCAAACAUGUAAGGAGUUAUUGUAUACUGCCUUUCCUGGGACCCCUCGCCACGACACAACGAUCCUGAAGGGCUACUUUCGCUGGAAAUGUCACAAUCGCUGGUGCUGCUGUGGUCCGCCAUGUUUUCUGCCGCCUACUGGAGCUUACGUCACACUUCCGGGUUUAGGAAGGGACAUUUAACGGAGUGCAAAAAAGCUAAAAAAACACAAAUUAUGGUCACAGUUAUGCUUUAAUAAUGACAUGGUUGUUUUUACGAACUCGUCCAAAGUUUAUAUUCGUAAAAUUACACCAAAAUCCGGAAAGGUCUUCAGUUCCCCUUUAAAGGGUAAGACGACACCUUUAUGUGCAUCCCAGGUGGAAGCAUCUUGUUUAAUAAAGUGGAGGGGAGGCAUUUUUCUAAUGUGUAAUAGUAACAGAUGCAACAGUUACAUUUAAAUAGUAAUCUGAUAAUGGAUUACUUAUUUGAAAACUAAUUUACUUAAAUUACUAUUAUGCAGAAAAUAAAGUUGGCUCUCAAUUUUUUUUUUUUUGUUUAACCAUUUCAUAGUUAUUUAUCCCAAAACAAUGAAACAGGGAAGAACCAUUUUUAUUUAGUAAAUCUGGUUGUGACAUCACAACCAAAACUGAAGAUCCUGUCUAGUUUUCUAGCGCUGCGCUAGCUACAACAUGUGUAUAGAACGGUCACACGGCAGCAAUAAAAAGCAUAUGGAUCGCAUGCUAGCAGAACUCUGGAGCUCAUUCUAGAUGUGACAUCUUCUCUUUGGAGAUUUUAGUGGGUUGGGCCAGGGCAUCUGAGAAAGGAAGACUAAUUAGGAUCUAAUUUGAUUAGUAAGCUUUUUCUGUUACUUUU